UAAGGAAUAUUGGUCAAUGCCCGGAAGGGUGAACCAGCCAUCCCGCGUGAAGGAUGAAGGGGCUCUGCCUUGUAAACUUCUUUUGUAUGGGGCGAAAAAAGGGGAUUUAUCCUCGACUGACGGUACCAUAAGAAUAAGCACCGGCUAACUCCGUGCCAGCAGCCGCGGUAAUACGGAGGGUGCGAACGUUAUCCGGAAUCACUGGGUUUAAAGGGUGCGUAGGCUGUUUAAUAAGUCAGUGGUGAAAGGC
rnacentral:rRNA from 1 species